rnacentral:rRNA from 1 species
AACAGGAUUAGAUACCCUGGUAGUCCACGCUGUAAACGAUGUCGACUUGGAGGUUGUGCCCUUGAGGCGUGGCUUCCGGAGCUAACGCGUUAAGUCGACCGCCUGGGGAGUACGGCCGCAAGGUUAAAACUCAAAUGAAUUGACGGGGGCCCGCACAAGCGGUGGAGCAUGUGGUUUAAUUCGAUGCAACGCGAAGAACCUUACCUACUCUUGACAUCCAGAGAAUUUGCUAGAGAUAGCUUAGUGCCUUCGGGAACUCUGAGACAGGUGCUGCAUGGCUGUCGUCAGCUCGUGUUGUGAAAUGUUGGGUUAAGUCCCGCAACGAGCGCAACCCUUAUCCUUUGUUGCCAGCGAGUAAUGUCGGGAACUCAAAGGAGACUGCCGGUGAUAAACCGGAGGAAGGUGGGGAUGACGUCAAGUCAUCAUGGCCCUUACGAGUAGGGCUACACACGUGCUACAAUGGCAUAUACAAAGAGAAGCGAACUCGCGAGAGCAAGCGGACCUCAUAAAGUAUGUCGUAGUCCGGAUUGGAGUCUGCAACUCGACUCCAUGAAGUCGGAAUCGCUAGUAAUCGUAGAUCAGAAUGCUACGGUGAAUACGUUCCCGGGCCUUGUACACACCGCCCGUCACACCAUGGGAGUGGGUUGCAAAAGAAUUAGGUAGCUUAACCUUCGGGAGGGCGCUUACCACUUUGUGAUUCAUGACUGGGGUGAAGUCGUAACAAGGUAACC